UUUCUAUUGGAUGCAAGUCGAGCGAACAGAUGAGAAGCUUGCUUCUCUGAUGUUAGCGGCGGACGGGUGAGUAACACGUGGGUAACCUACCUAUAAGACUGGGAUAACUCCGGGAAACCGGGGCUAAUACCGGAUAAUAUUUUGAACCGCAUGGUUCAAUAGUGAAAGACGGUUUCGGCUGUCACUUAUAGAUGGACCCGCGCCGUAUUAGCUAGUUGGUAAGGUAACGGCUUACCAAGGCGACGAUACGUAGCCGACCUGAGAGGGUGAUCGGCCACACUGGAACUGAGACACGGUCCAGACUCCUACGGGAGGCAGCAGUAGGGAAUCUUCCGCAAUGGGCGAAAGCCUGACGGAGCAACGCCGCGUGAGUGAUGAAGGUCUUCGGAUCGUAAAACUCUGUUGUUAGGGAAGAACAAAUUUGUUAGUAACUGAACAAGUCUUGACGGUACCUAACCAGAAAGCCACGGCUAACUACGUGCCAGCAGCCGCGGUAAUACGUAGGUGGCAAGCGUUAUCCGGAAUUAUUGGGCGUAAAGCGCGCGUAGGCGGUUUCUUAAGUCUGAUGUGAAAGCCCACGGCUCAACCGUGGAGGGUCAUUGGAAACUGGGAAACUUGAGUGCAGAAGAGGAGAGUGGAAUUCCAUGUGUAGCGGUGAAAUGCGCAGAGAUAUGGAGGAACACCAGUGGCGAAGGCGGCUCUCUGGUCUGUAACUGACGCUGAUGUGCGAAAGCGUGGGGAUCAAACAGGAUUAGAUACCCUGGUAGUCCACGCCGUAAACGAUGAGUGCUAAGUGUUAGGGGGUUUCCGCCCCUUAGUGCUGCAGCUAACGCAUUAAGCACUCCGCCUGGGGAGUACGACCGCAAGGUUGAAACUCAACGGAAUUGACGGGGACCCGCACAAGCGGUGGAGCAUGUGGUUUAAUUCGAAGCACGCGAGAACCUUACCAAAUCUGACAUCCUUUGAUCCG
rnacentral:rRNA from 1 species